rnacentral:tRNA from 1 species
GGCUUGGUAGCUAAGUUGGCUAGAGCGCUGGCUGCACUAAAGCCUUCCCAUUGCUGCCAUGGGUUCGAAUCCCACCGAGGCCA